GACGAACGCUGGCGGCGUGCCUAAUACAUGCAAGUAGGACGCAGUUGCGAACGGGUGAGUAACGCGUAGGUAACUGCCCAUUAGAGGGGGAUAACUACUGGAAACGAUAGCUAAUACCGCAUACUAGUAGAUGGACCUGCGUUGUAUUAGCUAGUAGGUAGGGUAAUGGGCUACCUAGGCAACGAUACAUAGCCGACCGGAGAGGAGGAUCGGCCACACUGGUACUGAGACACGGCCCAGACUCCUACGGGAGGCAGCAGUAGGGAAUCGUCGGCAAUGGUGGGAACCCUGACCGGGCAACGCCGCGUGAGGGAAUAAGGUUUUCGGAUCGUGAAGCUCUGUUGUUAAGGAAGCGGUACUUAACCAGAAAGGGACGGCUAACUACGUGCCAGCAGCCGCGGUAAUUC
rnacentral:rRNA from 1 species